UCUGACCGACAACCGGAGCGCCGGACUAAUGCUGACUGCACGGCCUCUCCGCCUCUGGCCUCAAACUUUUUGCUCAACUUCGCCGCCAGGCGCCGCGGUGCGGGAAGGGCGCUGUGCCCCUGCGCCCGGCCUGGCCACACCCCGCGCUCCCCGCGCUGGCGGGGGUGGAACCGGCUCCUGGCGUGGCCUGGCCUGCCCGCACCCCCGCCCCCGGCAUCACCCCGCCGCCUUCCGCACGGUCAGCGCCCGCGGCUCGGCCACGCGCAGACGCUUGGCUGGGUCCCGGAACGCGGUCACGCGCGCCCGCCGCUCAGACUGGGCGACCUGCGAGAAGGCGGUGCCGCCGCGGGGCCGGAGUCGGCAAGGCGCAGAGCCCCGGGUCCGGCCACGAGCGGCGCGCCCCGAGCUCAGCGUCCCGGGCGCGCAAGGAGGAAACCAUCGAGGCUCACCUGGGCGAGAGAAGCUGCCCGGCAGCAGGCGAUCCUGGCCCACGCCCCUCACCCGCCAGAGGGGAGCCUGGCGGUGUAAACAAGGUCUAGGGGUCCCCGUCGGGAUUGGAGAGCCGCACAACGGGAGAGUGGCCCCCGCCGCCUCCCGGCCCCACCGGCUCAGCGGGAGGAUGCAAGCGCCCCGGGAGUCUUCACUUCGACGGAGGCAAACGGGGACACGUGUGUCAGUGUGUGUAUCGGCAAACAUGGCGGGUCUGCACACGGAAUUCCUCAAGAAGUGCUUGCGGGCUGACCUCUCCCAACGGCAUCCCCCUGGCAGAUGCAGCAGGACGGCUAGAAGGGGGGGCUGCACCCGGGUGCCAGGUGGCCACUGUGCUGAUGCGGAGAGACCGGAAGGGCACGGUCUGACACCCGACCUCCUCCUCGCUGGGCACGGCAGGCUGACGGGUCCCGGGAGGGAGGGACAGAUGGCUCCGAUGCAGAGUUAAAACGAGAGAGACACAGCGAGAGAGGGAACACAAGCCGCGGGAGUGGGAGAGGGAGAGGCAGGCCUCCCGCUGAGCAGGGAGCCCGAUGCAGGGCUCGAUCCCACGACCCCGGGAUCAUGACCCGAGCCGAAGGCAGACGCUUAACGACUGAGCCACCCAGGCGCCCCCACACAGUACUUCCUGACAUCAGUCGGAUUUCUAACACCCUGACCAUGUUUCUGUAAUGACUGUUUUGGAAUAGCAGUUUGGAAAUUUAUGGAGGAAUGGAAAAGAGGAAGACAUUGUCAGGUGGGGAAGGGAAGGGAGGGGCUGAAAUGCUCUCACACCAAAGGUUAGCUGGCUUAUGACUUGGUACUAUGCAUGAGCCGGAAUCUGGGCUUGCGUUGCUGUUUGCCUUCUGUCUUUCCACCAGCCCGGAUACCCCACUUGUGUGAACCCUUCCUGGGCAAUCACUAGAAGGAAUUAAUUUUUCAUCCAAGAAAGGAGCAUAUGUGUCUGAAAGCACAGAUUCCCUAGGGAAGUGUUCCAGUUAUCUGUGUCUGAGUAAUAAAUCACCCAAAAAACGUAGUGGCUUGAAGCAAUAAUUUAUUGGGUUCACCGUGAGUUGACAAGGCUCAGAUGGGUGGUCCGCACUUGGGGACUCAUGUGCUUACAGGGGCAAUGGGCUAAAUGUCUGCGAUGCCUCUCUCAUGCAGUGACGGUUGUGGCUGGCUGUCAGCGAAGACUUCAGCUGGGGCUGUCAGCCAGAGCAGCGCCCUGUGGUCUCUCCAUGUGACAUGGCCGCUGGGUUACAAGAGGGAGUGUCUCAAGAGCAUUCAUUCCAAGAGAUCCAGGCAGAAGCUGCGAGGCUUCUCGUGCCCCAGCCUUGGAAAUCCCAGAACCUCACGUGUACCACAUUCUACUGCUCAAGCAAAUCACUGAGUCCUGCUCAGAUUCCAGGGAAGGGGAUUAGGGCCCCUGCCUAUGGCAUGAGGAGCGGCAUCAGCUUACAGACAGGGAAGGAAUUGAUGGCGGCCAUCUUGGGAGAGUCUUGGUUACUUACCUCAGGAAACCCGUCUGAUCCUUGAGUGUCCAGACCCGCUGAAUGUUUCCUGCAAGAACGAAACCGCUCUGCUCAGCACAAGGCCUCAGCAAGCUGAGACGGAAUGAUCUCUAUUUCUAAAAAUAAUACCAACUUGGAUCUCGGAGCUGAUUCUCUCUAUAGGACACCAGAAACCAUGCUGGGGGCAAGAGCAAAAUACUGAGCAG